GACGAGCCGUGCGAACGUUGUUCGGAAUCACUGGGCAUAAAGGGCGCGUAGGCGGCUUAUCAAGUCAGGGGUGAAAUCCGGCAGCUCAACUGUCGAAGUGCCUUUGAUACUGAUGAGCUCGAGGGAGGUAGGGGUAUGCGGAACUUCCGGUGGAGCGGUGAAAUGCGUUGAUAUCGGAAGGAACGCCGGUGGCGAAAGCGGCGUACUGGACCUCUUCUGACGCUGAGGCGCGAAAGCUAGGGGAGCAAACGGG
rnacentral:rRNA from 1 species